rnacentral:piRNA from 1 species
AGAAGAGAACUUCAGGCCAAUUU